rnacentral:rRNA from 1 species
AUACGUAGGGGGCGAGCGUUAUCCGGAAUCACUGGGCGUAAAGGGUGCGUAGGCGGCCAACAAAGUCUGGGGUGAAAGGCUACGGCUUAACCGUAGUAAGCCUUGGAAACUUGAUGGCUUGAGUGCAGGAGAGGAGAGUGGAAUUCCUAGUGUAGCGGUGAAAUGCGUAGAUAUUAGGAGGAACACCAGUGGCGAAGGCGACUCUCUGGACUGUAACUGACGCUGAGGCACGAAAGCGUGGGGAGCAAACAGGAUUAGAUACCCUGGUAGUCCACGCCGUAAACGAUGAGUGCUAGGUGUUGGAGGAGACAUCCUUCGGUGCCGCAGCAAACGCAUUAAGCACUCCGCCUGGGGAGUACGGUCGCAAGACUGAA